rnacentral:rRNA from 1 species
GAUGAACGCUGGCGGCGUGCCUAAUACAUGCAAGUCGAGCGAACGGACGAGAAGCUUUCUCCUCUGCUGUUAGCGGCGGACGGGUGAGUAACGCGUGGAUAACCUUCCUCUAUGACGGGGAUAACUUCGGGAAACCGGAUCCGCUACCAGAUAAUACUUUGAACCGCAUGGUUCAAAAGUGAAAGACGGCCUUGCUGUCACUUUUAGAUGGAUUCGGGCUGCAUUAGUUAGUUGGUAAGGUAACGGCUUACCAAGGCAACGUUGCUUAGCCGACCUGAUGGGGGAUUCGGCCCACUUGAAACUGGGCACCGUUCCAGAUCCCUACGGAAGGCAGCAGUGGGGAUACUGCAGCAAUGGGGGAAGGCCUAUCCAGGCAACGCGGGGUGGGUGAUGAAGGCCUUCGGUUGGUAAACCCCUGUUAUGGGGAAAGAACACAGGUGUAAGUAACUGUGCACAUCUUGCCGUUACCUAAGCAGAAGGCCCGGGCUAAUUAGGU